UGCCCUCGUCUUUCUCCGUCUCCCAGUCUCCUUCCAGCACAGACGCAGAGAUCACAACCUCACUAGCAAACGACGUCAUAAACAAGCCAAACAGGAUGGUGUUCCUCCACCAGCAAAUCCCUUCACGCAAGCGACCGGCCUCCUCUUCUUUUGUCCCUCCUUUGCCUCCCCCUAAAUCUUCCAAACCCUCCACCACCAAUCCGACCCCAAACGACGUCGUCGAGACCCCAGCCAUCGACAAAAUGGCGUCUAUACUCGCCGACGCUGGCUGCACCCUCCUCAACCACUCGGGCCCACCGUGCCUCCCUUCGGACUCACACAAGCUCCGCCGCCACCUCCACCGCACUUUCUCCUCUUCCAAAAAUGCCCCUUCUCUUCUCUCUGAUUUCCUCUCCGGCCUCUCCACCUACAUCAACUCCUCCAAAAACCUCCGCAGGAUUCUCACCAGCUCCGGCAGAAGCGAGAGCUUAGUCCGGCACCUACUGCUGGUCCCCUCCAUCCAAUUACAGAUUCAGAACAUGCUUCUCGAGAAGCUUCCAGAGUAUUUCCAUGUAUAUCCGGAACAUUCCGGUCCAUCACUGUCUCUUGAAGACGACAUCGCUAGGCUUAUCAUCAAUCACUUCCGGUGGCUCGAUUUCAUUGUCGAUCCGAAUGCCUUGGCCGAGAAAUUGAUGCUGGUUCUUUCGAUUUGCCCUCUGCAUUUGAAGAAAGAGAUCAUCGGAUCGUUGCCGGAGAUCAUCGGAGAUCAGAAUAACCAGACUGUGGUUCGAUCUCUUGAGAAAUUGCUCCAGGAAGACUCGGCUGUUGUUGUGCCUGUGCUUGACUCCUUUUCGAAUCUUAAUUUGGAUCCUCUGUUGCAAGAGCAGGUAAUCACCAUAGCAUUGUCAUGCAUCAGAACAAUUGAUGCGGAGCACAUGCCUCAUCUGCUUAGGUUUUUACUGCUUUCAGCGACACUGUCAAAUGCACGGAGAAUAAUCUCACAGAUCCGUCAGCAGUUAAAAUUUGUUGGAGUUUCAAAUUAUUGUAUAUCAGAAAAGAGUAAACUCAAAGGGAAGUCGCGUGCGGACAACACAGAGGCUUCAAUUCUUGAUGCGUUGAGAUCAAGUCUUCGAUUUAAGAAUAUACUAUGUCAGGAGAUUUUGAAAGAGUUAAACAGUCUUGAGAAACCUCAGGAUCACAAAGUCAUUGAUAUAUGGCUACUUAUGCUGAUAUACAUGAAUGGUGAAUCCCUGCAAAGGAGCAUUGAAAAGGUAUUCAAGAAGAAAAUUAUUGAAGAUUGCAUUCAGGAAGCUAUGUUUGAUCAAUGCAUUCAUGGACACAAGGAGCUGGUACAGGAUUACUUUCUAUCUUUCAUUUCUUUGUCUGAGUACCUGUUGGCUUGCAAAGAGCCAAAAGCCCGGGAGUUUGGCAUCCAUAUGUAUGUUUGUCUCUUUGAGGAGUUUGCUGAUACUUAUUCAAGACAGGAAGUUCUUGGUUCGCUGGUUACCCAUGUGGGCUCAAGUGUGGGUUUUGAAGUCAGUUCUGCUUUAGAGGCAAUGGCUUUGCUGGCCUCCAAAUAUUCACAGCAAUUAAUUCCACUUUCUUCUCAUAUUAAUGGUAUCCUUGAUUACUUAGAGGGAUUUAGCGUUGAAAAUUUGCACAAGGUCUACGAGAUUUUUGGCCAUCUGGCACUUUUGGCUCGGUCUAGUGCAGAUUCAUAUGGUUCUUCCUUUGCAAAUGAACUUUUGAUGAUAGUACGGAAGCAGGUCAGUCAUCCAGAGCUGAAUUACAAGAAGAUGGGCCUUGUCGGAACUCUGAAGAUGGUUUCCUGUCUAGGAGAUGCAACUGAUGUUACCUGUUCAUCCUCAUCUCAAAAAUCAAAUUGUGACGAGGCUUUGGAACUCUUGAAAAUAGCUUUGGACUCUUGCAAACAGUUGCCCUUACCUUUGAUCAUGUUUUAUGACGAACUGACUGAAAUGAUGGAUUAUAAAACACUUCAUCCAACAGUUAUGGAAUGGAUUGGGAAACAUGUAGGAGAGUUUGAACCUCUGUUUCUGUCUGAUCUUGAUGGUGGGAAUUUGGCUGUUAAGGACUCAUAUUGUGGUUUAGAAGGGGAGCUGUGGAUGAACUUGGAUGGUGAUAUAUCACCAAUAUGUCUAAACAUUUUGCCAUUAGCUUCCUCUUCAUCGAAGUCUGCUUCUUCUUUACAAGUUCUUCCUGCUAACUUCCUUUUAUUAUCUGCAAUUGAAAGGCUUACGAAUCAAGGAUCCCUUGGUGGAAUUGAUGCACUACUUGGCUGUCCUUUGCAUCUGCCUUCUUCUAAGUAUUUCUUUGGAUCUGAGUGGAAGUCUCUGACAGGGAAGCAGAAACAGAUUUUGUGUGCCUCUCUAUAUUACGCUGCCAAUUGGAUACGGGAACUAUUCAAUGCCUUCUGUACACAAGUUACUGGGAUAUUUGAAUUUACAAGCCAGGCUACAAAGGAGGAUAUAAUUUCCAAGCUAUUGAAGCGUUUGAGGAACCUUCUAUUUUUGGAAAGCUUGUUAAACAAUUGCAUUGGGAGGUACUCUCUAUCUCUUCCUGAACUUCAUCCUUAUGUGGAUGUCUACCGUUCUUCUGCGUUAAACCAACCUCACCGUAUGGGGCACAUUGAAAAGAAACUUGACCAUAAGAAAAAACAUGAGGAAAUCUCUCCAAAUGGCGCAAGGACAAAUAAAAAGACAUCAAAGGAAACAACAUCAGAUACCAACCGGAAUCUCCGGCAGCCUACAUUAUUGGAUGUCUUAGAGAAAGCGGGAGUUCUACAAGGCCAGGAUGUGCCAAAUGAGGAUUCUUCUGGUUUAUCUACAAAGGGAAGGUCAUAUGAGUCAUCAGACAAAAAUUCCCAUGACUCUGACGAGGCGUCCUCUAUAGAAAUUUCUGCUGUUGGCAAGGCUAUCGAAGCUCAGAGGAUUAAUUUCAGACCCCUCCUAGUUCAUUGUUAUGCCAUUUUGACAUUUUCAAAGAGUGAAGCCUCCUGUUGUAUCGAUGCUGCUGCUGAGUUACCCCUAUAUCUGUACAUUAUGCGGGAUCUUCACUACAAGCUGGAUUUCUUCACUCCUGGAAAACAAUUGUGGGGUAGAUGCUUGAGUGCUCCAGUUGGGUUCACCAGGUUGACGGUAGAUGGAUUUUUGAGCAAAAUUAAACCACUCUUUCCAAGUAUUAAGAGGCAUUUUGAUAGUGCAGUUUUGUUACUUAAGGAAGGGGAUGAAACUUGUGAAGAACAUUGGAAUAUUCAAUCUACUUUUGCCGGAAAUCCAAAUAUUUCCAAUCUUGUACUUUCAAAAUCUGCAGUUUCUACUUCAGUAUUCAAAGAAGUGCUUCAUUGCUUCAGUGCGAUAUUAAACCUUCCUGGUAUUCAGACAGACAAGUCAGCUCUCUCAUGUCUGCUAGAAGCAUUCCAGCCUACAGAGAUUCCAGAUAGCUUAAUGGCAGGCAUACAACCUAACCUUUCUCCUGGGACUACAGAGUAUUUAUAUUUGGGUGCUUAUGCAUUUUUUGAAGGUGUCUUGGACAUAGCAUGCUCUUUCUCCUUUAUGCUGGCUUCAGAAUCACUUUUUACUCUAGAAUCGGUUGUAACCUCAAUCCAGAAAUUCAUCAGUAAGUUGGAGGGAAAUAGUAAAAACGUGCACUCAGAAUUUAUCCAGGAAGCUCUUCCAACUUUGCGCAGCAAACUUGGUAUUUCUGCUCAAAAUAUUUUAAGGCAUAGUUGGGAUAAUGAAAAUGUUGAGAAUGGUUGGAAGAGAAAAGGAGAAACUGUACAGAGAAUAUUGCGCAUCUACCUGGACAGCAGCAACUCAACUUCUGACCUGCUGGAUAAGCUAGCCUGCUCUAUUUUGCCUCAGGCUUUAUGCGAACGAAUUGGGGAAGAUGAUCAUCAUGGUUUCCCAUCUCUAAGUUCUGGAACAUUUGUUGUGUGGUACAAGAUACUGCAUGAAGAGAAUCUUUCUGUUCUUAACAAAUUGGUCAAGGAAGCUGUUCUCCUAAAGAAAACCAGUACUCGUGCUCAACCCGAAACUAUUGAAAAACUUCUAAGCAAGCUACAACAGUCUGUAAAUGUGGUUGUGUCAUUAGUUAACCUUUGUAAAACUUGUGCCAAGGUGACUCUGCAUGCCAUGGCUGUUGGUUAUGGAGGGAAGUUUGUUGAUUCCUUCCUGAAAGUUUUUGACUUCUUAGAGUCCCACUUUCAAGUUCACAAUGAGCAUAUAAUCCACUUGGUUUUAGAGCUUCAAAAGGCCACAAGAACAAUACAGACCCUAUGUUCUGAAGCAAAGGGCUUGAGACAAACAAGUAUAACCAGAAAAAUACCUGCUACAAAGAGAUCUAUGGAACGCUUUUUAUUCUGUGUGAAAGCUCUUCUCCAUACAACAUCAAAUGGUUCUUCCUUCUGGAUGGGCAACCUGAAGCAUAAAGACUUGAAAGGUCAGGUGGUGAGUUCCCAAGUGUAUGUAGAUUCUGAAGAUGUUGAUGAAGAGCCAGCCGAAGCUGCUGAUGAGGAGCCAGCCGAAGCUGGUGGUGAAGAGCCAGCUGAAGCUGCUGAUGAAGAGCCUGCCGAAGCUUCUGAUGAAGAGCAAGCCGAAGCUGAUGAUGAAGAGCAAGCCGAAGCUGCUGAAGAAGAGCCAGCUGAAGCUGCUGAUGAUUAUCCACCUGUUUGUGUUGCUAGUGAAGAGGACAGAGAAACAGAAUGAGAAAUGCACUUGGGAACUUUAUGCGUAUUGACUGGAGCCAACCUUGUGACCUCAAAGAAUUGUCCUGGGUUCUGGUGAUUGUGGAAGACAGUUACAUAUGAUGAGUGGGCAAAGACAUGAUCAACUUGUUGUUCCGAAUUAACAGCAGUAGCUUUUGGAUACGCAGAAUAGUCAUAGCAGGAAAUGACUACAGUUCCUAGCUUUUCCUGCACUGUCGAGAGCAUCCAUUUACAGCAAUGCUUAUGGCAGGUGUAGAUGUUUAGGUUGAUCCUGGUCUGUCAUGAAUCUCUCUUUUUUAAGGACCUCUAAGAAUUGUCAUGGUUUCUGGUGACGUGGAAGUCAGGAACAGAUGAUGAGUAGGCAACACAUGUUUUGAUCAACUUGUAAUUCCGAAAUAACAGCAGCAGCUUUUGGGUAUGCACGAUAGUCAUAGCAGGAAGGAAACGACCGUACAGUUCCUAGCUUCUCCUGCACCGUCGUCGAGAGCAUGUAAUUGACAGCAAUACUUAUGGCAGGUGUACAUGACAGUUUAGCACAUGAAUCUCUUUUUUAAGGCAA